rnacentral:lncRNA from 1 species
GUGAAGUAGGAGCUGCAAUAUAUUCAACUGCCGUUAGCGGCUUAUUGUUACGUGUGGAGGUGUCUUGUGGAAUAUUGUCGGUUUCGUAUUCUUGGUUCCCUUUGGCAGCGAGUGCAUGGCGCUGCAGGCGCUUUUUGUAGUUCUCUUUGCUUCGAGUUCACCGUGUUGGAAUGCAAACAUCCUGUCCAGCACCGGCGAGCUUACAGUAUUCGAAAGUUUUUAUCGACGGAAGAACCUAUCUGGACAUACAACGCAACAAAGCCGUCAACUCAUCGAUGUCAAGUGGACGUAACGAAUGAUGUGAAAAAUACUUCGAUUUAUUUCAAGCGAUGGUACUAUUUGAACCAUCAAAAGAAAACCAGCAAUAUUUUGGGAAAGUUCGAUCGAAACCGCAAGAAACGCAUGGUGGUUGAUCUUCCAGGUCAUAAUUACACUGUCGAAGAGGAUAUUCUUUACAUGAGUGAAAACUUUGGAUGUGCAGUGAUUAUGAUUACGACGAAAAGGCAGAGUAAAUUCAUCACAUAUGACCUGCGAGUAAGAAAUUCUUCAAUGAUAUGUGGCGAUAUCACUGACUGUAAAGUGAAAUUCAGUGAGUAUGAGCGAAGAGAGGG